CUUUUAGUAGCCAAAAGUUAUACUUAUUAUAUGAUUGAGUUAUUUCCCUUUGAACAGAAAUUGUGAUUUGCAAAUAUCAUUUUCAUUAGAUAAUAAUUUAUUUUUAUUAAAGGAUAUAUUUCAUUACAUUACAUUGUGCAGAUGAAAUUGUUGACAUUGAUAGAUAAGUUGCAGAUCUAUAUUAGUUUGUGACAAAUGAAAGAAAAAAUAUUGGGAACUAUUAAUUAUAUAUAUAAAGUUUGAUUACACUAAGUGUUUUUGUCUCGCCUUGACGGAGUCAAAAAGCGAGACAUAGGUAUGCUGUUUCAGGCGGCGAUGGUGACGGCGGCAUCAACAAUGUUUUCGUUUGUGAUUAGGUCUAGUUCAUGGUGAACCACUAGUGGUAGGUCAGUGAUAUUUGGUCUGCAGUUGUAUUAGCAUUGGCACAUCUCAUUACCAUGGAGAUUGUUUGGCCCCGCCCCCUCAGUCAAGGUCUAUUGACUUUGAAACUUUGCUUAGUUUACAUGUAUUAGUUUGUGAUUAGGUCAGUUUACGGGGAACCACUAGUGGUAGGUCAAUGAUAUUUGGUAUGCAGUUGUAUAAGCAUUAGCACAUCUCAUUUCCAUGGAGAAUAUUUGGUCCUUACCCCUCAGUCAAGGUCUAUUGACUUUGAAACUUUGCUUAGUUUUCAUGUAUAAGUUUGUGAUUAGGUCAGUUUAUGGGGGAACCACUAGUGGUAGGUCAAUGAUAUUUGGUAUGCAGCUGUAUAAGCAUUGGCAUAUCUCAUUUCCAUGGAGAUUAUUUGGCCCCGCCCCCUGAUUCAUGGUCUAUUGACUUUGAAACUUUUACUUAGUUUACAUGUAUUAGUUUGUGAUUAGGUCAGUUUAAGAUGAACCACUAAUGUUAAGUCAGUGAUAUUCGUUAUGCAAAUGUAUUGGCAUUUGCAAGUUUCAUUUCCAUGGAGAUUAUAUAACCCCACUCCCUAAUUAUGGUUCAUUGACUUUGAAACUUUUACAUAGUUUACAAGUUAAUGUUUGUGUUUAGGUUUGUUUAAAGGGAACAACUUAUGAAAAGUCAAUGGUAUUUGGUUUGCAGUUGUAUUAGCAUUGGCAUAUCUCAUUUCCAUGAAGAUUGUUUAGCCCUGUACUGUCAGUCAUGGUUCAUUGACUUUGAAUAUUUGCAUAACUUACAUGUUAAAGUAUUGCUAUUUUAAUU